rnacentral:rRNA from 1 species
GACGGAGGGGGCUAGCGUUGUUCGGAAUUACUGGGCUUAAAGCGCAUGUAGGCGGCUUUGUAAGUUAGAGGUGAAAGCCCGGGGCUCAACUCCGGAAUUGCCUUUAAGACUGCAUCGCUAGAAUUGUGGAGAGGUAAGUGGAAUUCCGAGUGUAGAGGUGAAAUUCGUAGAUAUUCGGAAGAACACCAGUGGCGAAGGCGACUUACUGGACACAUAUUGACGCUGAGGUGCGAAAGCGUGGGGAGCAAACAGG